rnacentral:sRNA from 1 species
UUGAGUUACAUAUGUAU